UAGGGAAUCUUCGGCAAUGGGGGGAACCCUGACCGAGCAACGCCGCGUGAGUGAAGAAGGUUUUCGGAUCGUAAAGCUCUGUUGUUAAGGAAGAACGAGUGUGAGAAUGGAAAGUUCAUGCUGUGACGGUACUUAACCAGAAAGGGACGGCUAACUACGUGCCAGCAGCCGCGGUAAUACGUAGGUCCCGAGCGUUGUCCGGAUUUAUUGGGCGUAAAGCGAGCGCAGGCGGUUAGAAAAGUCUGAAGUGAAAGGCAGUGGCUCAACCAUUGUAGGCUUUGGAAACUGUUUAACUGGAGUGCAGAAGGGGGGAGUGGAAUUCCAUGUGUGGCGGUGAAAUGCGUAAAUAUAUGGAGGAACACCGGUGGCGAACGCGGCUCUCUGGUCUGUAACUGACGCUGAGGCUCGAAAGCGUGGGGAGCGAACAGG
rnacentral:rRNA from 1 species